AGCAGCCGCGGUAAUUCCAGCUCCAAUAGCGUAUAUUAAAGUUGUUGCAGUUAAAAAGCUCGUAGUUGAAUUUCGAGAUCAAAUUGUUGGUCGUGCCUUGGUACGCACUGGCAUUAUUGGUUUCUCCCUUCUGACGAACCAUGAUGUCAUUAAUUUGGUGUCUUGGGGAAUCAGGACUGUUACUUUGAAAAAUUAGAGUGUUUAAAGCAGGCUCACGCUUGAAUACAUUAGCAUGGAAUAAUGAAAUAGGACGUUUGAUUCUAUUUUGUUGGUUUCUAGGAUCGACGUAAUGAUUAAUAGGGAUAGUUGGGGCAUUAGUAUUCGAUUGUCAGAGGUGAAAUUCUUGGAUUUAUUGAAGACUAACUACUGCGAAAGCAUUUGCCAGGAUGUUUUCAUUAUCAAGACGAAGUUAGGGGAUCGAAGACGAUCAGAUACCGUCGUAGUCUUAACCAAUAAACUAUGCCGACUAGGGAUC
rnacentral:rRNA from 1 species